rnacentral:rRNA from 1 species
AUGGAGGUAAAGAGAGUUUACUUGAAGACGGGGCAUGGGUAUACUUUCAACAUCAAAUUAUAUAAUGGAGAUACAUACACCCAUUUUGAAUGCAAAACUUGGCAAGCACUAUGCAAGGCUUAUGCAUUUGAGCCUGGUAUGGUUCUCACCUUUGAUAUUCGUCCGGAAGAUGAUAUUGAAGGUAAUAUAGACAUCUGGGUCGAUGUGGAAACGUCUCCAGUUCUACCAUUAUCUUAUUUCGGUUCAAGCAAACAUGUCCGGCGCUUGGUUGACAGGACCUACUACUGCCCCGGGGCUCAACUAAACUGCGAGGAGAUAAGUCAUUAUGUUUCAUGGCUUGAGGAUCUUAAUACUGUCAAGACAAUUUUUUUCCUGAACUUAGAAAUGUUAGUACUCAAAACGUGCGACCAAUGGUGA